rnacentral:rRNA from 1 species
CACGUAGGGCGCAAGCGUUGUCCGGAAUUAUUGGGCGUAAAGAGCUCGUAGGUGGUUUGUUACGUCCGCUGUGAAAUCCUAGGGCUUAACCCUGGGCUUGCAGUGGAUACGGGCAGACUAGAGGUAGGUAGGGGAGAAUGGAAUUCCUGGUGUAGCGGUGAAAUGCGCAGAUAUCAGGAGGAACACCGGUGGCGAAGGCGGUUCUCUGGGCCUUACCUGACACUGAGGAGCGAAGCGUGGGGAGCGAACAGG